rnacentral:rRNA from 1 species
UACGGAGGGGGCUAGCGUUGUUCGGAAUUACUGGGCGUAAAGCGCGCGUAGGCGGACCUGCAAGUCGGGGGUGAAAGCCCGAGGCUCAACCUCGGAACUGCCUUCGAUACUGCGGGUCUCGAGUCCGGGAGAGGUGAGUGGAAUUCCUAGUGUAGAGGUGAAAUUCGUAGAUAUUAGGAAGAACAGCCAGUGGCGAAGGCGGCUCACUGGCCCGGGUACUGACGGCUGAGGCGCGAAAGCGUGGGGAGCAAACAGG